rnacentral:rRNA from 1 species
CACGUAGGCACCAAGCGUUGUCCGGAAUUAUUGGGCGUAAAGGGCUCGUAGGCGGUUUGUCGCGUCGGGAGUGAAAACAUCGGGCUUAACUCGAUGCUUGCUUUCGAUACGGGCAGACUUGAGGUAUGCAGGGGAGAAUGGAAUUCCUGGUGUAGCGGUGAAAUGCGCAGAUAUCAGGAGGAACACCGGUGGCGAAGGCGGGUCUCUGGGCCGAUACUGACGCUGAGGAGCGAAAGCGUGGGGAGCGAACAGG